GCGAGAAAUUACGGCGAAAACCCUCCGUUUGCGAUCGUUUGCUCUAUAAAUUUUGGCCGCCGAGUUGGUUGACGAUAAAUGACCGACGAAGAAGCUGAUCGCGUCGGUGCAGAUCUUCUUCUUCUUAUUCCGGAGCAGCGUCCGCGGAAGAAGAGGGAUUUGGCUGAGGCGGGGAGCUUUGGAUGCCAUGAGAGGCGGUUGAAUGGUUCCGUGGCGUUUCCGCGUCAUCGCUGACAAGCUGGCGAAGAUGAUCGGGGGAAGAGGCGCUGAUGACGGCGAAGACGAUUUCUCUCUUCCAUUCGAUCACCCGAUCGAUUGCCGCUCCAACUCCGUCGAUGUUCCUCAUAUGCGGCAGCGGUUCGAUUGGGAUUGCGGCCUCGCCUGCGUGCUGAUGGUCUUGAGGACGGUAGGUCUGGAACAGUUUGAUAUCCGUGAUCUUGAGAAGAUUUGUGACACGACAAGCAUUUGGACUGUUGAUCUAGCAUACUUGUUGCAUAAGUUUUCUGUGAAGUUCUCUUUCUUGACCGUGACAUUAGGUGCAAAUCCAGAGUAUUCAGCUGAAUCCUACUAUAGAGAGCAACUGCAAGAUGACAUAGAGAGAGUGAAUGGGCUAUUUGAAAAAGCCCUAGAGGCUGGGAUCAACAUACAAUGCAGAUCCAUCAGCGCGAAGGAUAUAUCUCUCCUAAUAUUGACAGGCCAAUGUGUUGCAGUUGCUUUAGUUAACAAGAUCAAGUUGAGUCAAUAUUGGACAAAGGAUGCACAGGAUGCUGACUGCUAUAUGAGCAACUCAGAUUACAUGGAAAUAAUUCCUUUACCUAGGGCAUUAUGUCGUGAUAUGUGGCUUUGAUCGAGGGAGUGGCGAAUUUGAAAUAAGAGAUCCUGCCAGUCCAAGGAAGCAUGAGAAACUUUCAAUAGAAUGCUUGGACGAAGCACGGAAAUCUUUCGGCACCGACGAGGAUAUCCUACUGAUAUCUUUGAGUGGUAAAAAGUUUACAAAUCUUUCGUCCAGACUCGUAAAAUAGAAAUGCCAAUUGGUCUUCUUCAUCUUCCAGUGAUCAUCACCUCAUGGUUGUGUGGCUAUAUGCAUCGUUCAUCCUUUGCAAAUUAUAUAUUUAUAUAUGUUUUAAAAAAAAUGUACAGCCAACUUGUGUAAAUUUUUGUAAAACUAAUGUAUAUCAUGAAAGUGAAAAAAAAACUUUCUCUUGCUGGCUCACGAUUCUUUGGAGUUUAAGUCGAACUAUGAUCGAACCAUAUUGAAGUUGGACUUGGUUCGAUUGAAGGUAUUUACUUGCCUAGUUCACUCAGUUUGAUUGUCUUACCUUGUGAGUCAUUGUUGUUACAAUUAGUAUGCCCAUGUCUUUUUCUUUCA